CAACUGUAUGAUUCUAUAAUUCUGGGAGUUGUCGUCCAAAACAGAAGGGCAGAAGCUUGGGAACCCCGGCUCUAGCAGAACUGGGCUCUGGGGGUAUCAUGGCAGUCCCACAAACUUCACUUGCAAAAUCCUCGGUGCUUUGCUGAUCUUCCCCUUCCACCCCAGCAGUCGAACCCGCUGCUAAUGAAAGUUACAAUUUGGGGCAGACAGAUGGGGCUGUUGCAACCCAGAUAAUUCUCCUCCUCUAGACCCUGUCAGUUCCUCUGGGUAGUGUUUCUACUGCUGCCACCUCCAGGCUAAGGGAGAAGAAGAAAGACCAAGUCAGUUUAUCCAUUUCCGCUAUUCUAAAAACUUUUGCAAUCCAGUCUGACAUUGUCGGAAGGUGUGACUACUUCCAAUG
rnacentral:lncRNA from 1 species